AUGUACCUAACAGUACACCACCGUUUCCAUGGGGAAGUGAGUUUUGAGUUCCAGCUGGGAACAUACCUCUGCCACUACCACCAGCAGAACAGCCUGGCUCUCACCGCCACAGCAGCGCCAGCCCAAUGGCAAUGCAGACAGAUGCACAAAACUGACUUCCCCGGAGGCCUUCUCUCAGAAGUGAGUGGCCUGGAUCUAUGUACCUCUUCCUGCCUGGCCUGGACUGGAAAUCCCACCGCAGAGGGCACAUCUCAUGGUAUGUUACUGCUUCUGGUUUUCAAGAGUCCCUUAUAAAAAUGCAUUCAG
rnacentral:lncRNA from 1 species